rnacentral:rRNA from 1 species
CUACGGGUGGCUGCAGUGGGGAAUAUUGCACAAUGGGCGCAAGCCUGAUGCAGCCAUGCCGCGUGUAUGAAGAAGGCCUUCAGGUUGUAAAGUACUUUCAGCGGGGAGGAAGGGAGUAAAGUUAAUACCUUUGCUCAUUGACGUUACCCGCAGAAGAAGCACCGGCUAACUCCGUGCCAGCAGCCGCGGUAAUACGGAGGGUGCAAGCGUUAAUCGGAAUUACUGGGCGUAAAGCGCACGCAGGCGGUUUGUUAAGUCAGAUGUGAAAUCCCCGGGCUCAACCGGGGAACUGCAUCGGAUACUGGCAAGCUUGAGUCUCGUAGAGGGGGGUAGAAUUCCAGGUGUAGCGGUGAAAUGCGUAGAGAUCUGGAGGAAUACCGGUGGCGAAGGCGGCCCCCUGGACGAAGACUGACGCUCAGGUGCGAAAGCGUGGGGAGCAAACAGGAUUAGAUACCCCAGUAGUC